CCUACGGGUGGCAGCAGUGGGGAAUUUUCCGCAAUGGGCGAAAGCCUGACGGAGCAACGCCGCGUGAGGGAUGAAGGCCUCUGGGCUGUAAACCUCUUUUAUCAAGGAAGAAGAUCUGACGGUACUUGAUGAAUAAGCCACGGCUAAUUCCGUGCCAGCAGCCGCGGUAAUACGGGAGUGGCAAGCGUUAUCCGGAAUUAUUGGGCGUAAAGCGUCCGCAGGCGGUCUUGUAAGUCUGUCGUUAAAGCGUGGAGCUUAACUCCAUUUGAGCGAUGGAAACUGCAAGACUAGAGUGUGGUAGGGGCAGAGGGAAUUCCCGGUGUAGCGGUGAAAUGCGUAGAUAUCGGGAAGAACACCAGUGGCGAAGGCGCUCUGCUGGGCCAUAACUGACGCUCAUGGACGAAAGCCAGGGGAGCGAAAGGGAUUAGAUACCCCUGUAGUCCUGGCCGUAAACGAUGAACACUAGGUGUCGGGGGAAUCGACCCCCUCGGUGUCGUAGCCAACGCGUUAAGUGUUCCGCCUGGGGAGUACGCACGCAAGUGUGAAACUCAAAUGAAUUGACGG
rnacentral:rRNA from 1 species